GUGUGCCAAUGAUUGUUGGAUAAUCCCAUUUCUUCUCUGUCUCUUGUGAGGUGUCAGGCUGCAAGUGUCAUUGUACAUACCUUAUAUUACGAUUUGUCAUAUGAAUUGUUUGAAAAUCUUAUUGGGACGUGAGGAAUUCACAGCCCUACCAUCCCUUAUUCUAUCUUUUCUUCACUUAUUUCCUAAUUAAUUUCAUUUGUUGGGAGUAUUUACUAUUUAGUGCCCGUUUAAAUUUUACAUGUGUUUCCUAAUCUUGGCUCGUGGUGUGCAACAAAGACACUGCUAAGGUAGUUUUGGUAACGGUAGAAGGAAGUGAAUGCAGGAAGGAGGCCCUUGUUGCGUCUGUGACAGUAAUGAAAUCCGCAAGGAUGGGAGCCCGUGUUACGCGGUGGCCUGCUCAAAAAUUUAUUUGAACUAAAAAAACCCCACCCAGGCCUGUUAAAAAAAAUUUGAACAAAAUAUAAAGAAUGUCUUUCCGCAGCAGUUCUUUUUUACAAAAAACCAAAAUCCAAAAUUCUAAGAUUAUAAUUUUUUUAAAUUAUUUUUUAUUUAAUUAAAUAACAUCUGAGUUGGGUAUAUCAAGAUUAUUUUAAAUUAUGAUAAAUUCACCAAUAUCAAAAUGAAAUAAUAUAACUCAAUUUAAAAUAAAUAAAAUAUGAAAUUAAAAAAAAUGAAAAAACAAAAACAAAAAGCUCAUGGGUGUGCUUGGCCCAAUGCGCCAUUGACCUAUUUAAUAUUUUUCUUUUAGAGAUGGAUGAUGCUUUGUUUUUUUUUUAUAAGAAAACAGUAGACAACCUGUCAAUUACUGCAAUAGUUUCUAGCCAUUACAGGUGGUCGAAUAAUCAGAUAGUCAUCUCCUAGAUAUAAAAAAACCCUCUUUGAUCCCUUUUUUUUAAAAAUUUUCUAGUGAAAAAAAAAAAAAAACCCUAAGAAACAUCUCAAGGAGUUCAAAAACCUAUUUUUGGUAUUAAAUCACCAUUUAAUUGGUUUUUUAAAAAAACCCAAUUUAAAAAAAAUCUUAAAGAUUGAUCUAAUUUUUUUAGCAAGAUAAAUGGCAAAGUAGACUUAAAUAGAACUCUCUUUAUAAAAUAAAACCUAUGAACAACAAGAACGACGAGUCUUAUCACUAAAAAAUAUCAGUUUCUAAACUUUCUCUCAUCUUUAGUGUAACCGGACCACUCUCUUCCUUUCCCUUUUCUGUCAUGAAAAAAAAAAAAAAGUUUUGGGACAAAAUGUAAAAAACUCAUAAAAGAGGCACUAAAAUUAAAAAAAAUUGAAAAAAAACUUCUAGGACUAAAAAUACUAAAAACACACCUCAACUACAGUAAAAAAAAAAAUUGCUGGGGACUUUGUUCAAUGAAAAAAAAAACUCAUGAUACUAUUACAAUUUACAAUAAUCUAGUGAGCGAACAAUAAAAUCCAAAAACAUCAAGAAAAUUAAGUUUAUAUUAAAAUGUAAAAACUCAUAAAGAGGGCUUAAGAUAAAAAAAAAAUUUGAGGGAGUAAAAAUGCUAAGAACACGCCUCAGCUACAGUAGCAAAAAAAUAGCCUGGAACUUUGUUCAAUUAUCAAAUUUGAUUCUUGAGACAAAUUGAAACAAAUCAUUAACCCAAACCUUCAAAAAACCAAAAUCAGAAGGAUCAAAUAAAAAAAUAAAUUAAGUGACCAAAAAAUUAAAGGAUGAAAAAAAAAAACACACUUAUAACACAUUCACGGUACACAAUAAUUUUAUGCCUGAGUGAACAGUAAAAUCCAAGAAUUAAUUUAGUUUUAUUUGUAAGAAGAAAUUAUUUCAUUAUGCAUGCUUGCAAAAUCAACUUUUGGUCCUUAGGAAGUGUGAUAUCAUAAACAUUUCCUGGAGUCUGGAAUAAAUAAUUAAUUAAUAGGAUAAAUCAUAUUUCGCAUUUAUUGAUUCAGAAAUAUUGUUUCAUUUCUGAUCAUAUAGCUUGAAAUUUCUGUUAAUAUAGUUUUUACGUUUUGAAGGAUUUCUGCCGGUUGUCAUCAUAUUUGCUAGGGGUGAUAAAAAAAACUGAAAAACCUAUUAAAUCGAGAAAACCAGAAAAAAAUUAAUCGAAAAAACCGAACCGAAAAAAAAACCGAUUAAACCGAUUAAAAUUUUAAAAAAACCGGCCGGUUCGGUUCGGUUUCGGUUUUAUAAGCAAAAAACCGAACCGAACCGAAACCGAAAAAAACCGAGCAAAAACCGAGCCAAACUGAAAAAACCGAGAAAACCGAGCCAAACCGGAAAAACCAAGGCAAACCGGUUUGAACCGGUUUUUGCCCUAAAAAACCGAACCGAACUGAAACCGGUCGGUUUGACCCGGUUUCGGUUCGGUUUCGGUUUUUUUUUUUUAAAACAAUUUCGGUUUGGUUAUUUUUUUUGAUAAAAACCGAACCGAACCGAAAAUAAUAUGUAUAGGUCUUGAGAAAAAGAAAUCACCAUGGACCUUUAUGCUCCUUGGAGCUGAGAUGAUUAUGGCCGAGCCAUUGUGUUCUUCCCAGAAGAUGUGUACGAACAAGUCCACACACACACAUAUUAUAAGCUCCUUCUUUCACGUUACGUGGGCGUGUGCCAUUUUGGAUCAAAUGAGAAAUUAAUAAAGCUAUGAAAUUUUAAUAUUUACUUUUGAAAACAAAUAAAAAACACUGGUACAGUUCAUGAUACAAGGUAUUGGAUAUAAAAUGGGGAUUUUUAUUUUUUAUAAUUCAGUUUCGAGAUUCAAUUCAGGUUUAGUAAUUAAUUAUAAUUACCAGGCAGAAACCAGAAUGAAAUGAUGAUAUUUUUUCUUUUAGAUAUUGUUGCUAGGAAUUAGGGAUGAUAGAAUUUAAAUUUAUGAUUAUUUGGUUAUUAAAUUUGAUAAUUGAAAAUAAGUUCUAUAAAAAAAAAACUCUAGAUGAUAUGGUUAUAUAUAUGUUAAUAUAUUUUUUACAUUUCAUAUUGUUUUCUUUAACAUUUUCACUCAAGCAUCAUAAUACAUAUAAACUAUUAAAUAAUUAUUUUUUUUUUAUCAUUUUCUUGAUUUAUUUUAUUUUUUAAUUUCAUUCCUUAUUAUUUUAUUUCAUUUAAUUUUUAUACUAGGUUUGGUAAUCAUUUUUUUGAUUUUGUUUUUUUGUUUUUUUAUCCCUUUUUUGAUUAAUUUUAUUUUUCAUUGUUUUUUUUUAUGAGAAUUGGUUCUCAUUCAUUUGAUUAUUCUUUGUUUUGUUUUGUUUUUUUUUUUUAAUUUCAGGUUUUUGGAUGAUUGAGAAUUUUGCUUCAUGAUUUUUUUUGUGUUUGCCUUCUACGGAGUCAUCUCGGUCUCAGAACCCGGGUCAUGUAUUUCAAAGAUUAGCCUGAUUUCAUUUUGAUCUUUUUAGGUUUUUUUUUUAUUUCAUCCUUCUAUAUUAGGUUAUUGGGCGCACCUUGAGUUUCAUGGUUUUUUUUUUAUUUUCUUUCUAUGAGGGAUUAUCCCGAUCUAAUAUCCAGGAUUGCAGAUUAAUCAAGUUAACCCGAAUUGACUUAAGUUUUUUUUUAAUUGUUUUUUUUUAGUUUUUUCUUUUAUCAUUUAGUUUGUUCUAGAGUUAACCUCUAUUUUUUUAUUCAAUUUUUUUUGUAUGGGGUCAUCCCGACCUCGUAUGAUGCUAUAAAAUUGAUAAGUUGACUCGAGUGAAUUUUUUUUAUUUUUAUUUUGUUUAUCCUUCACGUUCUUUAUUUUCCACAUUGUGCUCUUGAUUUACUGAUCUUUAUUGAUGGCCCGAUUAGAUGGUCUAACAUCAAGAGUUCUAGACCUAUAAUCACAUGGUCUCCCCUUGAACCUUAUGUGCUAAAAUGGAACGUGGAUGGAUCUUCUAUUAGCAAGCCUGGUUAAAUGUGCAGGUAUUAAUGGGGUUCUUCCUGAUAAAAAAGGAUUGGUACGUAUUAGGUAUUUUCUCUUUUCCAGUCGGGAUCAAAGAAUCUAAUGAAGCUGAGCUGUUAGCAGUGAUUAAAGCUUCAGAAUAUCUUCAUCUAUAGUAAACUUGUUUGGUGUGGGAAUUAUAAUUGAAUCUCCACUUCCUCCAUUAGGCAGUACUGGAGAUUCCAUGAGCUCUUCAUUCAUGGGUUCAGUGUCUUCCUCUCAUACCUCAAGGGAUGCUAAUCACAUGGCUGAUGGACUUGCUAAACGAAGUGUCUCUAGAAAUUACGAGUUUGCGAUUUUGCUGAGGAAGAUACUGAUAUAACUCUUGAAGAAGCUGAUUGAUAUUGGCAUCGAGGACGAUACAGAGGCAGGGGCUGGGUCUUUGAUUGUUUUGUUUGGUCUUUUGAGCUAUCUAGGGCAUUGCGUGCAUGGUUCUUUGUUGCUUUUCUGUUUUUACUGCCUUGCAGACCCAUAUUCUGGUCUCUGUUUUGCCUUUUAUAGCUAGGUUUAAUUUAUUUUUCUUAUAAAAAAGGGUACCAUUUUACUUUAGAAAAUAAAACAAAUAAUUAUUAAUUCAUAAUAAAUAACAGUUAUAAACUAUUAAAUAGAUUUAUAUACAUGUAUUGCACUUUAAAAAAUCAUCCUAUCCUUUUAUAAUUUAACUAAUUGUUAGGCAAUUAAUAUUAAUUAGUGGAAUUUCAAUUAAUUUUUUUUCUUACUUUAUAAAAGAAUUUUUUUUUUAAGUUGUUAAAAAGUCAUUUUUAAGUGGUUACAAAUAUAAGUUUAAACUAAAAAGUGUUUUUACUUGGUGCUAUCAUAAAAUGUGUCUUAUUACUUGGUGGCACUAAUAAAAUUAUAAUGAAUUUAAGUAACCAUAUCAAGCAAUCUAUAAGAUAUAUUUAUAUACUAGUGCAUUAUAUAAUGUAGAGCCGAAUAUAUAUUCGGCACUACAUUAUAUAUAUAACGAGUAUUCGGCACUACAUUAUAUAACAAGUGGAGUCGUUAUAUAUAUAAUGUAGUGCCGAAUAUAUAUUCAGCAUUACAUUAUAUAACCCACUUGUUUGAGAUUUUUUGUGAGCACUUGAUUUAUGAAAUCUAACAACUGAAAUAUUUGAUAAGUGAUAUUAUAAAAAAUUUUGAUAAGAUUUUUCGAUAAGAUUAGCAUGACUAAAUAAGUAAUUCACAACUAUAUCAAAAUUUUAUUCUUGAUGAAAUCUAAUGAUCGAAAUAUUCGGUAGGUGAUGUAAUAAAAAUGUUUCAAUAAGAUUAACAUGGCUCUUAAAAGGUAAUUAACAACUAUAUUAGAUUUGUGUCUUCUAGAUAGAUAUCGAAAUUACUUAUCAAUGCAUGAAUAAAAUCCAAUAUUGAAAUAUUUGGUAGGUAUUGUUGUGGAAAUUUUGGAUAAGAUUAGCAUGACUAAAAAGGUAAUUCACAACUAUACUAAAUUUGUAUUUUCUAGUUUUAUUUUUCCUAAAAUGGUUUCAUAAAAAAUCUAAAAUGAGUGAAUUAUUUAGUGUAUUGCUAAUUUUACCGAAUUCAUAUAUUGAAAUCUUAUCUGUUAACGAACGAAAUUCGAUGAUUGAUAUAUUCGAAAAAUAAUGUCGUUCAAACUUUUUGAUAAGAUAAUCCCGAUAGAAAAGGUAAUUCAUAUAAAUACUAGAUUUUUAUUCUCAAUUAGGCAUAAAAUAUUAAAGUUAAAAAAUCAAACUUUUCCUAUUUUGAUUAAUUCGCACACCUAUGACCAGCAGGAUACAACUUUUCAUGACCAACACCAUCAAGGGCACAUUCGUAAAUUAAUAAACCAAAGAGGCACCAACGUUAUAGUUUCCCUCCUCUUCGAAAUGCCACCAAUUUCCACCCCCUAACUACCAAGAAUACACCACAUCAUUACCGUCCAAUACACUAACAUAAACCACGUGUACGUCCAGAAAUAAAGAAUCACAUCAUUUAACCAUAGACCUAAACAGUACCAUAACAUGAAGAGACACCAAAGGUAACUGUAACUAACUGCCAUUUUAUAUAUUUUUUUGCCUCCACAACUCUUUAAAUACGCCUUUGAUUUGCUUGAUCCUAGCACAACAAUUAAUCACAAGUAAUUAGCCCUUUAAUCUCUUUGUUUUUGUUCUUAAUCCCAUUUUUCUUGAUUCACCAUGACUAACAACAACAACAACAACAAUAACAAGGAUGCUGCUGCCAUCCCUGAUAAGGCCAAUGAGCAUUCAGAAGCAGCCAACAGCCCUAGAAGAAACCUCAACGAUCAAGAGGAGGCUAUCGCCCCACCAAGGCCAACAGUCCAACGGUCUACUGUCGAAACCGGUGGACCUUCUUCUGUUUCUGGUCCUGCCAGGCCGGCAGGAACUGAAGUUGGUGCAUCUCCUGCUGCCGUGACUUUAACUGGUGGUGCUAGCCCAUCAACUCCUGUAAGAAUUGGAGGGAGUGGUACUGCUGCUGUUGAUCCCAGUACUGUUGCUGCUACUGUAGUGGCUGGAGAAGGGUCGUCCUUGAGAAAACGAUCUGGAAAGGGUGAAGAGAGCAGUCCUCAUGUGUCCAAGAAGGCUAAGGGAGAGAUGGACAUUAAUCCUGACGCUGAACCGACGUGCUCUACAUGUGGCCGAACAUUUGCCUCCUGGAAGGCGGUAUUUGGUCAUAUGCGUGCACACCCUGAUCGCGGCUGGAGAGGUGCCUUCCCCCCUCCGGAAUGGUCUCCAGAAAAGCCUAAUGACCAGCAGGGAGAUCAAAGUGCUCUACGAAGCCAAUUAGCACCAAGGCUGCUAAGUUUGGCAAUAGACACUCUAAAUCAGAUGAAGCACGAUCAAGGUCAUGAGGCUGGUUCUUCGACAAAUCGAAGAAACUUUGAUUUGAAUACGGAACCACCGAGAGAAUCAGAAAGUAAUUCUGGAUCUUCUUCUCCCCCAAGCAGUGGAAACCGGUUUGAUCUUAAUAAACCUCCGAAAGCUGAUCAUAACAAUGGCAACGAGGGAGCAUCCAAAUAAAUUAUAAUUAGGCUGCUCAAAGAUGUUUUUAACCUAUGUUUUAUUACUUGCUUUUAAAUCAUGCUCAUUUGAGUAUUAGAGAUUUAGAGUUGUAAUAAAUUAUUUGUCCAUUUAGUGGAAAUAUGAUCGCAUUUAGAUGUUCUUCAUUUUCAUUUUCUUUUUCCUUUUGUUUUAAUAAACUCUUGAAGGAAAUUCUUGUUAUAUAGAUAACAAGAAUGCUGGGAACUUGUUUGUACUCGAUAUGGCUUCCUUCAAAUUAUCUCUUUGUUUUAUUCCCCCCUUCCAUGCUUUUGUAACAAAAAAGUGUGAAUUAAGUGCAUUUCUCUUUUCUGUUCUUUCUGUCCAACGUACGUGAUGAUAUUUAAGGAGAGCCAUCAUGUAAAAGAUGUUAGGGUUAAUUCUUGAAGCAUCUUGGUGACUACUCUCUUAUAACUCUACACAGUCCACCAUACAAUAAGCAAUAUUCUAAAUGCCAUGAUAAUUUUACGCCUAAACAAAGAAGUCCCAGAUGGAUUACUAGCAUUACAAAUUAAGGGAAUUGACUUUUUUCUGAGAAAAUUGUGAAGAGUAGUUUCAUCUUCUGCUUGUAAUUUCUUGAAACCGGCAUGCCAUGCCAGUCCAACUGGAUAAACUGCGUGUUUGAACGUAGAACGACUCGGGAAUAUCAACAGAAUAUAUAGGUUUUAACUCGAAAACAUCUUGUUUGUCAGAGUAGAAAUGUGUUCCAUUAAUUGAUUCGAUUCGUGCUAUAGGUAGGAGCGGUGAAGAGAUUAACAUCUGGACAUUUCAAUCACAGUUCUUGAUUAUACACAGACCUUUUAGACUUUCAAAAGACAUUGAUCGUUGAUUUAUCGGCUAACGUUAAGAUUUUGAUGACAAUCUUCAUCUUCGUUCUUCAUACUUUGUAUUCUUUUCUUUUUCCUCUGAAAUUAAGAAAGUUGCAUAUAUGUAUUGGAAACACAAAGUACUACGUCCAUCGAAGGUUGGGGUAAUAGUUUUAAGUCACUUGUUUCUCCGUGUAAAAUUCGUUAAAACUGUUUCCUAUCAUCCAUUUUUACCCUAAAACAUAAGGACAGAGAAAUGAAAACGAUAAAUAAAUAAAAUCUUAUUUGUAGAAAUAAUAUUAAUUUAAUGCCAUAAAUUUAUAAAUUACUUCUAUGGCAAGGGAUUGCGUGAUUAGCCACCUUAGUUUUGUGAAGUUCUUACAAAUAUCACUUAAUCGAAUAUUUCCAACUAUAAUUUUAUAUGUUUUUAGAUUAUUUAUGUGUUGAAGUUAAAUAUAAUAUUUUUUUAAAAUAAAAAAUAUUUUUUAAAAUAAUUAUUACCGUAUUCCGAACUUUAAAACCAUCUAAAAUGAGAAAAAAUCUAGUUAUAGAAAAAUAGGAUGUUUUAAGAAAAUAUUGAUUUCUUACGUGGAGCCAUGCUGCUAAAAAAAAAAAAAACAUUUCAUUGUGAACAUAAAUAUAACUUCAAUAAUCACAGUUUAUUUAAACAAUCAUUUAUUGACUUAAUUAUUGAUUAUCAUGCAUGGUCAUAUACACUAUAUUUGUUGAUAUCUUACAACCCGGUCAAAGUUUUCGAUUCAAUUAUGGAAACAUAAUUGUUUUUUCUUUUAUUUUAAAAAAUAAAAAUUGAUUCAAAAUGUUCGAAUAGACUGAUGUUUUAAAAUUCAUAAAUAGCAUCCAAAUCUCUCUUCCUUACCUUUAUAUGUUAAAGACUUAAUUAUUUCAUUAAUUAAUUUAAAAUUUAAAAUUAUGAACACCAUCUUACAAACCUCUCACCACUGCAUUAAUUAUGCUCAAGUUCAUUAGUUUAAUUAGAUAAAAUGAGAGCAUAAAUUUUUCUAACUGUGUGGUCAACUAUGUUUUUACAUCAUGUAAAGAAUUAUUUUAAUUUAAAAUUUUAAAAUUUUAAGCGAAAUAUGAUAAAUAAAUUUAUAUUACUCUUUAAUACUAUAUUACAAAAUUAGAAUUAUCUAUACUUGAUUAAAAAGUUGAUUGUAUUCGUUGCUCUAAUUAAGCAUAGAAUCUCUUGAAGCACAUCAACACACCUGACUACACAAUGAAUUGCAUUGAAAAUUAAUACUUUUACUUUGUGAUGAUAAUGUACGUAAUUGUUUAACAAUUUAUAUUAGGUGGAGAAACAUCAAUAUGACUUUAUAAAUACUACUAAAUUAAUUAUAUUAAAAUAUUAAUAAUAAUUUUAUCGCAAAUAUGUAUUCUAAUCAAAAGAGUGAUUGAUUUAACCAACCAAGAAACCGAAAAAAAACAUUACGAACUCUUUUUUUUUUAAUUCAAAUUCAUUUCAUUUAAAUCCCAUAUUUUAGCUAUAAUUAAACACUCCAGUCACAUUUAGGCUAAGUUUGUUUUCCGGAAUUCACUUUCCGGAAAAUCAUUUUCCAAACUUUUCUGUGUUUGUUUGACAUUAGAAAAGUUGGUCAACGGAAAACACUUUCAAGUCAAAGAAAAAUUUAGUUUGAUUUCCAUGAAAGUGUUUUCCUGAAAAAUUUGGGCUGAAAACACUUUCCGGAAGUUGUGAAAAAUUUAGAAAUGUCAUAUUAUUUGUUGAUUCUAUGAAAUUUGGUUCUCAAACUUUUGAUUGAUAUAUAUAUUUUGUUUUGAAUAUUUAUUUUUUAAUUUCAUCUCUUAAAAUUUAAUUUUUAUAUUAACUUUGGUCAUCAUUUUUAUAAUUAUUAUUUGCUUUUCCCUUAUCAUUUUUUAUUGAAAUUUUUUAUCUAUCAAAUUUGAUCCUCAUUCUUUUGAUUGUUACUUAUUUUUUUUGAAAUAAUUUAUGAAAUGUUAAUUAUUAUUAUUUUAAUUUCUUCAUCUUUCAUUUUUUUAUUUUUUAGAUUUGAUUUCUAUUAUUUUGAUUAUUAUUUAUUUUAUUUGAGAUAAUUUAUGAAAUUAUAUUUUUUUUCAAUUUCAUUCUCAUUCAACUUUUUAAUUUGUAAGAUUUGUUCCUCAUUAAUUUAAUAAACUUGAGAAAAAUAAAACAUUAAUAAGUUAUUUUUCAGCUUAUUUUCAAUGACAUAACCAAACACUGGAAAAUAUUUUCCAACUUAUUUUCCAUUACACUACCAAACAUCAGAAAAUAAUUCACUUUCUUGAAAUUCACGGAAUUCACUUUCUCGGAAUUCAAUUUUCAAAAGGAAAUUACUUUUCAGCAAACAAAUGGAGUCUUAAUUAACUACAAAUUAUUGGAAAGAAUUCACUUCAUUAAUUCCCAUCAAAAUAUCCAGAUCGAACAAAAUGCUUCUUUACAUAAAGAGCUCUACAGAAUUAUAAGAACAAGCUUUGUUCGAUUUUUAAUUUUUUGUAUUUAGUAGCAUAGCUACGCUAUCUAGUGACGUUGAAUUUACUAUAUAUAUAUUAAGUUAAGCAUGCUCAACAUUGGUCAAGGAGUAAUUUAACUAUAUUUUAUAUUACAAGGAUUAAUUAAUUUAUUUUAAUAAACUAGCUAGAUAGAUUGAAUUAUAAUUAAAUAUCACAGGCAUUCAUCAAUCCAUAACCUAAUAUAAUUUUCAUGUACCAUAUUUUGACACAUAUAUACAUAUAUAUAGAGAUAAAACUGCUAAUAUUUUCUUGUAUAUACGUGACUCUCCUAGUGGCUAAUAAUAGCUCACGUCUCCAUGAAAGCCCCUCCAGAAGUGGCAGCAGUUAUCCCAAAAAAACACAAUUCAAGGUCCGAAACCAUCCUCUGCCAUAAGACCAUAAGCUCAUCUGGGUGAGGUUACAUGAGAGCACAAAAAUAAGAGAUAAAGAAUUGCCAAUGCAUGACGUUCUCAUAAAAAAAAAAAAAUAAACUCACCAUUAUCCUCAUCUCAUUAAUUCUUCUUCUUGUUUGUUUUAGAGAAUUCUCUUGUCAUUUUACUGGACUAGCUAGAAGAAUUGCCAAUGCAUGACCAUAAGAGUGUUUUUCCACCUUCCACUCUUCACUUACCUCUCUUUCUCGUCUAAAUCUUUCCAUUUUCUCUCUUACACGAGACAUCAUGGAUCCUUACAAGGUUCUUAUUCUACCCGUCUCCCUCUUCAAAACAAAUUCAUGUCUCUGCUUAAUACAAGUAAAAAAAAAAUGAUGUGUUUAAUUUUCUGGUCUGAAAUUCACAUAUAUUCCUGUUAAAUAUGUUUCAAACUCUCUUUGAUUUUCGUUGUUGGGUACUCUAUACAGUUUUGAUGUCUCUUUUUGAUGCGUUUUCAUGAUGCAGUAUCGUCCAUCAAGUUCUUACAACUCUCCGUUCUUCACUACAAAUUCUGGUGCUCCAGUUUGGAAUAAUAACUCAUCGCUUACUGUUGGUUCCAGAGGUAAAAGUUUGUCAUGCUUUUUGGACCUCUUUCAUGUCUGAGUUCAUUAUAGAGUGCUUUAGGUGAUGGCUUGAGCUUUAGUGAGGUAUUUUUACACCUUUUGGUUGAUUUGGGUUUUGUAGUUUCUAAUUCAGCUUACUUGCGAUGCAUUGAAACCAAGUUAGUUUGUGAAUACUAUGCAAAUCUCAGAGUUUGAAGUAGAACUUCUCUUUUGAAGGUCCGAUUCUGCUUGAGGACUAUCAUUUGGUGGAGAAACUUGCUAAUUUUGACAGGGAAAGAAUCCCAGAGCGUGUUGUUCAUGCUAGAGGUGCGAGUGCUAAAGGGUUUUUUGAAGUGACCAAUGAUAUAUCUCAUCUCACUUGUGCUGAUUUCCUUAGAGCCCCUGGAGUCCAGACCCCUGUUAUUGUCAGGUUUUCUACUGUUAUCCAUGAACGCGGCAGUCCUGAAACUCUAAGAGACCCCAGAGGUUUUGCUGUGAAAUUCUACACUAGAGAGGUAACAAUAUUUUUCUGUUUUUUGUUCAAGGACUUCUUCUUGUUUUUUCUCUUCCUCUUUGUACUGAAAAAUCACAGAAGUAGGUAAUUGGUAUCGUAUAUCUGUUGGCAGUCUAUCAUUUAUGUUGCAUCAAUAACUCAGAAUGUUCUUGCUGUUAUCUUGCCUUUAAAUUUUAAAAGGAUGCCCCCCCCCCCCGCAAUUCAUUGUGAGAUUCUAUCAAUAUGACAUGCUUAAUGCAUGCGGAGGGUGUUGCUUAUGAUGUGUUUGUUUAUCAAUACAUGACGGAAAACCUGAUCAAUGCAUAUCAUAGUAACAUGCCUCCCGUUGUAAAAUUGGAAUUGACUGUGCAUUAGAAGUUAUUGACUGAAAGGUUCAAUGAAUUCUGUUUCACCGCUCUCACCAGGGAAAUUUUGAUCUGGUCGGCAACAAUUUCCCAGUCUUCUUCAUUCGUGAUGGGAUGAAGUUCCCUGAUAUGGUUCAUGCUCUCAAGCCCAACCCUAAAUCACACAUUCAGGAAAACUGGAGGAUACUUGACUUCUUCUCACACCAUCCCGAGAGCUUGCACAUGUUCUCCUUCCUGCUUGAUGACAUUGGUGUUCCACAAGAUUACAGGCACAUGGAAGGCUCUGGUGUUAACACCUAUACUCUAAUCAACAAGGCUGGGAAGGCAUAUUAUGUGAAAUUCCACUGGAAACCAACAUGUGGGGUCAAGUCUUUAUUGGAAGACGAGGCCAUAAAAGUUGGCGGAUCCAAUCACAGUCAUGCCACACAGG
rnacentral:lncRNA from 1 species